CAGUGGCCGACUUCAACCGACUUCUUUUCAUGAUUUCAAAGCGGCGGGUUUUGGCUCCGGGUGGAGGGUCACAACAGGCGGCCAAACACGUGUUAAACCGACCUCUAGAUCUAUAUUUAUUCAUUAAAUAUCCGGCUGUCCUGAUCUGUUUAGCUUAUCUAGAGGGGAAAUAGUUUGACCACUCACUGAGCUUGGUUGGUUUUUUUUCGGGAAGGAAAUGCGCUGGAAACUUUGCAGCGGCGGUACAUUAUUCACGUGUUCUAAAUCUGCAACAAAAACAAACAUUUUGACUUGAAAAUAUGCAUUUGUAGCGAUUUGUCAUCGGGUUUGUUUUUAUAGCUUUGGUUAUUAUUAUUAUUUUUACGAGAUACAACAGGAAAGCGCUGCAUGAUCCUCCGUGAAGUACAGUGGGAUUAAUGUGCUGUGUGACUGGCUCUGAAGAGAGGACAGGAACAUGAGCGAGAAACGAGCGCAGGAAGACGCCAAAUUAAACCCGGAGGACUUGGAGAACCAUGUGAAGGUGGAGGCGCGCGACGCGCCCGGGCUCCCCGGCGACCGGAGUCCGGACGACGGUCACGGUGCGCCGCAGGAGACCCAUCUGUACAAACGCCGCUGGAUGAUCGUGUUGCUGUUCAGCUCCUAUUCGCUGUGCAACUCGUACCAAUGGAUCCAGUACGGCAUCAUCGGCAACAUCUUCACGCGCUUCUACGACGUGGAAGCGUUCACCAUAGACUGGAUGUCCAUGAUCUACAUGCUGACCUACAUCCCGCUGAUCUUCCCGGUGACCUGGCUGCUGGACAGGAAGGGGCUGCGGGUGAUCGCGCUCGUGGGGACGGCGCUCAACUGCGUCGGGACGUGGGUCAAAGUGGUCAGCGUCCGGCCCGACCUGUUCGCCGUCACCUUCCUGGGGCAGUUCUGCUGCUCCCUGGCGCAGGUCUUCAUCCUGGGGAUGCCGUCGAAAAUCGCCUCGGUGUGGUUCGGUUCGGAGGAGGUGUCCACCGCCUGCUCCAUCGGAGUCUUCGGGAAUCAGCUGGGUUGUGCCAUUGGGUUCCUCUUACCUCCGAUCCUGGUGCCUAACGUGGAGGACAUGGAUGAGCUGGCAAACCAUAUCCGAACUAUGUUCUACAUAACAGCCGGAGUGGCAACGUUUCUCUUCAUCCUCGUUAUAUUUGUUUUCCAGGAGCGCCCAGAACUACCUCCAACUCAGGCGCAGGCCACAGCUCGUACAAUCACACCAGAGGAGUACUCCUACACAGCCUCCAUCCUCAGGCUACUUCGAAACAAACCCUUUGUGCUCCUCAUCAUCACUUAUGGUCUGAACGUGGGUUGCUAUUAUGCUGUUGGAACCCUGCUGAACCGCAUGAUCAUCAGGUAUCACCCUGGUGAAGAGGUGAAUGCUGGGAGGAUUGGGCUCACCAUUGUCAUCGCAGGGAUGGUCGGCUCCCUCAUCUGUGGCAUCUGGCUCGACAGAACGAAGACAUAUAAACAAACCACUCUGGCUGUGUACGUCAUGACGCUGGUGGGGAUGAUCGUAUAUGCUGCAACAAUCGACCAACACAUCUGGGUGGUGUUCAUCACUGCUGGAUCUCUUGGGUUCUUCAUGACAGGCUACCUGCCUCUGGGUUUUGAAUUUGCAGCCGAACUGACGUACCCGGAGUCAGAGGGAACUUCCUCAGGACUGCUCAACUGUUCAGCACAGGUGUUUGGCAUCAUAUUCACCAUCUGCCAAGGGAAAAUCAUUGACAAGUUUGACACAUUGGCAGGAAAUAUCUUCCUCUGUGUAUUUCUGCUCAUAGGCUCAAUAAUAACAGGCCUAAUCAAGUCUGAUCUGAGGAGACAAAAUGCAAACCGACUGGCCAAAGAAGAGGCGGAGAAGCGGAUGUUGGAGCGAGACUACGGAGCAACAUCCCAAAUCUCAUCACAGCCACAAACUUCUUCUUCUCAAGCCUGAUCAAAAAAAAAAAAAUUUCUGUGUACAAACAAAAUCUCAAAUUUUAGCUCGACGCUGAAUCAGAAAGGAGCCAACUGAUUCCACCACAGGAAACUUGGAUUUACCCACCGUCAUCAAAGAAGUCCGGCUUUAAAGAAAUACAUUUUCCAUGUCAUGAUUUUUAUAUGAAGUGCUGAUGAUAAUCAUGAAACCCCCAGAUCUUUCCCCCUUCUGAGUAGACUGAAAGACAAAUCUGUGAAACAAUGCUGCUUUGACAGUUUGAUCUGUCAGUGUUUUUAUGUUUAUUACAAUUACCUGGCUGAGAAAGAGCAAUAAAGAUUGAUAUUUUGUUAGGCUACCUUUAGAUUAGAAUAGAUUAUAUAUAGAACAAGGGAUGCUGGGAUUACCCAGUGUGAUUUUUAUUUCCUUUUUUGUUGUGGAGACCUCAUGAGGUCAGAUGUUUCUACCACCAGAGUUUGUCAGUGAAAAGCCCGCUGGAGAAUACAAGGAAGAGUUUUUGCACACUUUAUGAAAAACACCAAAACCUGUGCUUACACUACAGUCAGUCCUUCACACCCUGGAGGCAGUGAGCGAUAUUCGUAGCCACAGCUGCCCUGGGCCAGACUGACAGAGGCGAGGCUGCCAUACAUCGGCGUCACCAGGCCCUCUGACCACCACCACUAAUUACUUAGGUAGUAAAUACGUCUAAACCUUAAAA